UCUUUCUUUCUUUCUUUCUUUCUUUCUUUCUUUCUUUCAGAUUUAUUUAUUUAUUAUUUAUAGGAUUCAAGGAGUUCUUAUUGAGUCCUUUAUGGUGAUAGUUUCCUGCCUGUGUUUGUGUUCAGUUAGUCCAGUUCCCAAAGUGAAUUCACUCACAUUACCAUGGAAUCCCAGUGAGAAGACGUUUCCCCACCCCCUUUUAUCAGAUAAAAAACAUAAAUUUCAGAUUGGUUGAGAUGGCUAACUACCCUAAAGUCCCGUAGCUUGAGCACAACAGAGUGGAGGACUCAGUUCCUCUCUGCUGCCAACUACAGGUCUCUUCUCUGCUUUACCUUUCUAAAGCAGGCAAUCAGUCCGCUAAAGGAAUCCAAAGACUGCUCGAACACGCUCCGUGUUGUGACGUACUGUCGGUAUCGUAUACAAACCAUCCGUUCUGCUGCUGAGAGCUGGCUACCCACUUGGAGCACAUGGCCACUGGGAAGGCUUAAAGGAGGGGAGGCUGAGUGGGGGACCAAUUAAUUUCAGAUUGGUUGAGCAAACGUUUCAUAGCAUCUUUGGGUUUAUUUCCCCUCUCCCUUGAGGAGCGGUUCCAGCCUCUUUUUGACAGAUUGAUCUUGAGUGCUGGGCAUUUUUCUCUCACCACAUUAGCUGCCAGUUUUCCAGGCCUUUCCCCGGGGCUGAGAUGAGGUGAGAGGCGCCAGCUUCAGCUCUGCAGAAUGAUCGGCCCCUUUCUUCCUGCUCUGCUCGUCCUCUGUGCAUUCCUCAAAUAUAACCUGCUACUCUGACUUACCACAGCCAUCGAGAUCAUUGUAGAUGCAGAAGUCAUUGCACACGAGUGUCUCCCAACUGCCUCAUUGUUUGUGCUCUCAAGGGCCCUCCAUGGAGCUCUUCUGUAAAUCCCUAUGCAGCUGAAGUAAGGCUGAGAUCCUCAGAUCCCCUCGUGGUACUAUGUGAUCGGCUAGCUCUCCAGCCUCACUGGUGUCCUUGAUCCUUGCUCUUCAGUCACAUGGGCAUCGUCUUUGUCAAGUGCAUUCCUGCUUCUGAUGUCUACUCCAAUAGGAAAGUCCUAUCUUUCUUUACCCAGCCAGCUCCUGUUCAGUGUUUGGAUGUCAGCUCAAACAUGACAUUUACAUCACAUUCAUGGGCUUUCCCACAGGCCCAAGAGCCUUUUCAGAGGAGCCUCUUCAUUUUCUUUAUAGCAUCUAUCAGAAUUUGUAUUGAUUGAUUGAUUGGUCUCUUGGUUUUCUUUAAUGUUUCUUUCACUGGAAUAAAGACUUACUGGGGGAGAAAUA